GACGAACGCUGGCGGCGUGCCUAAUACAUGCAAGUCGAACGCAGUGGGGACGGGUGAGUAACACGUGGGUAACCUCGGCAUCAGAGGGGAUAACACUUGGAAACAGGUGCUAAACCGAUCCUGACGGAUGGACCUGCGGUGCAUUAGCUAGUUUGUGCGGUAACGGCUCACCAAGGCCACGCUGCAUAGCCGACCUGAGAGGGUGAUCGGCCACACUGGGACUGAGACACGGCCCAGACUCCUACGUGAGGCAGCAGUAGGGAAUCUGCGGCAAUGGACGAAAGUCUGACCGAGCAACGCCGCGGGAGUGAAGAAGGUUUUCGGAUCGUAAAACUCUGUUGUUAGAGAAGCGGUAUCUAACCAGAAAGCCACGGCUAACUACGUGCCAGCAGCCGCGGUAAUAC
rnacentral:rRNA from 1 species